AACUGAAUACAUUGAAUCUUAAUACCCCAAUCCCCAUUUCAAUUGUAGCAUAAUUGGCAUUUGCGACAUAAUUGUAGAAGACAUGUAGAAGUUUUAGUCUUCCCAAUCUACAAUUUAUCUACACUGUAUCUAUAAUUUAUCUAAAAUUCUAUAAUUUAACCAUAAUUUAACUACAAUUUCUGGAAAUAUGUCUUCUUCUUCUUUUUCGACGAGUUUCAAUCUGAAAUUCAGUCAAAACCA
rnacentral:lncRNA from 1 species